AAUUUCUACAUCUAUAAAAUAGUCUCCCUUUGUUCUUCAAUGUAGUUGCCUUCAAUAACAACAAUCUUUCCCCACAACCACACAUUUUUGAAACUAAGUGAGAAGAGGAUCCACAUGUUUGGGACAUUCCAGAACCUAUGCUCCUUGGUGUGCAAACUCCUCUAUCAGCUUUCAUCUCCCUUCAAAGAUUAAGCAAAGACAAUGAAGUUCGACUACUACCACGAUUGCAAGCACAAACACGAACCCUAACUUAUGUCCUCCUCCACCACAAAAGAACGAACCCUAACUUAAUAAAAAAAACAAUUUCAAACUACAAAAUAAUUCCCAAUUGAAAUUAUCUUAACAGAUCACACAAACGAGCAACACGUGGCUAAAGUGUUAAUCCAUAUGGACAGAAACGUUUGCCACAUCACCAAGGUUUUAACGGUG
rnacentral:lncRNA from 1 species